CCGCCGUUUGCUAACUUUGUCUCAACUUACCAAAACAGAGCUUUGUCCCUCGUCACGGGAAGAUUUAUGGAGCUAUCUUGCGGAUGAGGAGGCUCGCGCACGUCUCGGUAAGGUCCCCUGGCUGUCCGCUUUGACGACGGCACAAAAUGGUGAAUGAACCACUAACAGCUGGGCGAGUUGACCAAUCACAGGUCGCUGACAGCAACAGAAUCUCACUUUCACCGCUUUCAGCCAAUCGAGACACGGCAUCCUUCUCUCUCUGACGUCGGCCAUCUCUCCGCCCCGCCCACCGCAAUGAAAGUGAACGGGGCCACUCUUGCUGACGUCACCUCGCCGACACUCUAUUGGAUAGGCAGUGGUGGAGACGAGCCGGUGUGCUGAUCAGUGAGUGGAAGAUGUUUCACAUGAUUGCACGAGCGUGAGACGGACAUCCGCACGUGUAAUCACUCUGAUUUGUGCCAUCUGUAUAUUUACUUUCGAUGUAUGUGUCGAAGACGAGAAACCGCAUCUACCCUGCGAAAGAUAGUGUCGUAAUAGUAAAUAUUACAUAAUCCCCAGCUCUGUGUAGUAGAAAAGCAGACUCCUGCUGAGACUGACAGCCAUGCGGGAUCCCGCAGGAGGAGCGCCCCCUGUCAGUGUGAGCUGAUGCCUGCAUGCUGAUCCCAGUCAAGCUCAGUGAUGGAAGAGGUGACACGUGUAGGCCUAAAAUCCGAAGAAAGCUCUGACCGGCUGAAAGCAGCAGUGUUCUUUUGUAAAAGUACGUUUAAUACUUGCAUGUGUUCCUGCACGUGCGUGUAGGAGACAGCGAGAGAGAGAGAAAGAGAGGGAGAGAGAGAGAAGCAGAUCGACCUCAGACUGAACGUUGAAUUCCUAAAUGUUGAUACACAGCGACAUCUUGUGGGGACAUUUUAGCUCUGCAGUUCAGAACGUCUCAAUAGUUUUAGUUGGACUCCAUAUUGUCUGUUAGUAAAGAUGGAUUGAGCUAAGGUAAAAGUUUAGACAGGCAUAGAUAUUUAGACAAUUGUUCAUAUCAGUAAGCUCUACUGGGACAAGCAGUUUAAGUACCACUGAUUUUAUUCUUUUUCAAAGAAGCGGCAAAAGUUAAAGCAAAAAGCCCUAAAUCCUCUGGUACAAACAUACUCACUGAAUAAUUACUAAUAAAAUGAUGAAACUAAAAUAAAAAUAAAAAAGUCAUUAAAAGAAUAUUAGCUAAUAUCUAAUAAGUAGAUUUUGAUCCCUAUUUAACAUGAUACUGCACAACACACUUGAUCAAACACUGAUCAAAUUAGGUAAGUCUAAAUUAUACAUUAAUUAUCUUGUUUCAGGACACUUUAAAUCUACAAAAUAAACCUGAAGGAAACAAAUUGCAAAUGUCAUAAACAUAUCAUCUAUAGCACAUGAUGCCACCAGCAACUCAAUGUUGAGUUGAGUUAUUUCAGGUAUAAUGGGUUGAAGAGGCUGCUCCUGUUUUUCUGAUACACCCCACUAAUGUCUCAUUGGAUCAUUUCCACUUCGCCUUCUUGUGUGCAACAGCUCCACUCGUCCCAUCACACUCUGUCAGCCCAGCUCCGCUCUCAUUCCCACAAUGGGAUCCUGACCUCUGAACUGCACCCCUCACCCUCUCUCUGUGUGCUCAUCACAGGUCUGUCAGUCAAACACCAGAGACCCGGCCCUCCUGCUGGGCUCUGCUGUCAGGUACAGACAGCUCUGGAGGAAAACAGAGACAGGGAAGUGGAAGAGGAAACACCGUAGGUUUUGACAAAAAUGAAGAAGACGGACAGAACCGAGCAACACAGGUCUUGCUUGGUAAAUAUUUCGUUGGUCAGAGUGUUUCACUGGUGAUCUAUCUAUCUGUGGCAUAACCACAAACCAGCCCCAGCCUCACACAAAGCCAGACCCAUCGUCAGGAAUGUGCCUCACCUCUCGGUCUCUUAAAGCCCACGCUCACAGCAGCAUCUGACCUCUGAUCCUCUCCUCGACCUCGCGCCAGAGCAAGAAACCAGGCCCCAUCAAACCCAAGACAAAUGGGCAGAAUAAAAAAUGUCUGGCAGUCUUGAAGACAGUGGUCAAACAAAGCAAAGACACAUCACCUGACGAUGAUGUGACACUCUAUGGACGUAUCAGCCUUUGACAAACUCAAAUAUCCUAACAAAUGUCUUCAUUUUACUUUUUUAUUUGUGAACACUUAUGCUUCAGUGAAUUCUUUCAGUGAGGUUUAAAUGCACCUUUAUGUAAAACCUUCCACAGGUUACGGGGGACUGAGGCAGAGUCUAUAAAAGACAACUUACAUAAGGGACUGAACUGUUCAGGCACAUUUGUUUUGUUAGUGUUUUUUCCAUGAACCUGCGCUAUCGAACCUUGAACAUAGAGUGCGAUGAAACGAAUGGAAGAUGUCUAUAUUUCUGCUUCUGUAGCCUACAAGGCGAGACACAAUGGGUGGGGGUCUAAUAAUGUGCCUAAUAAAGUAUGAUACAUGCUGUAAUCAGACUGUGCAAGGUUAGGGAUUGAGGGGAGCUCACAAUAGCCCGGAUGAGUACUAAAGAAGGACGAUCACCUAAAAAGACAUCUAAGCAGAAAUAGAAGCUGAGCCAGAACGGCCUCCGUGCACUGAUGUGCACUGAUUUACUGUAAACAAAUGGCCAAAGCGAGCACAGGCAGCGUCUAACGGUCCCAUCAAACCCUGCGAGCUGCCGUGCGGAGAACAGUGGGCCCUUGUGCCCUCUGCAUUCUUGUCCCGAGUAACUUUACACCGCUCAGCUGUUCCUCGGGGGCCGCGUCACGUCCAGAAGCGGAGGGCAGGAUCGGGGACACGCAUGUUCCUGAACGCGUCAGAGACACCGUGAAGAACGAGAGGCUCACAAGCUUUUCCCAAUGAAGACUCUCCAUCUCCCCUGGACUUCAGGAUGCUAUAGCUUCAUUCCUGCCCAUUUAAAUGGACCGCACGAGUGUAUAAUAAAGUUUCACACAGCUCAUAUAUUGUAAGUAAAGUGUUGCGUACUGCUAAUUCAGACGGCUGUACAUGAAGGAUUAGUUUACUAAAGGAGACCAUUCCACUCAGCCUUUACGACUUUGCAUUUAGUCUUUAAAUAAUUGAUGCAAAAGUCAGACCUCACUUAAAACAAACCGUGUUGGAGGUGGAAGACGUGAGAAAGAUUAGUUGUUAUUGCUCAGUCAGGUUCAAACAUAAUGGGAAAAUGUGAUUUAUAUGUAGCUAAGUAAAGAGUUUAGAGCCGAGUAAAAAUCAGUUCACGUCUAAUCGACCAGGAUAUAAUGCAGUACAGUGAUCCACCAACAGGGGGAGACAUUUGAUGCCAAAUGACAGCAGACGCAGCUGCUUGGACCCACACGGUUGUUUUUGUGCCUAAAACUUCUUCAUGUGCGUCUUUUUCUACAGAGCGAGCGAUGGUCCGGUACCUAGCAGCAACGAAGUCACGAGGAUAGUUCAGGGUCAAAUCGGUUGAACGGCAAGAUUGGCGGGAAGAAGGUGAAAAAGGAAAUACCAGUAUCAGAGUUUCAAACAAACCACAUCAAUGUGUGCGCGCGCUCGUCUGCGCUCAGCGUGACAAAGUGCCGUCGCUGUGAAAACGCCGAGCCUCUGUGCGGUGCAGCGUUUCUCCGUACGGCGGAGGAUGUGGUGGGCUUACUAGCAGGCCUCCUGUGUUUCACCGUACCGUAAGCCAGUCACAGAGGAUGCAACGGGCCCGUGUGAAUCCACGGCGGCUCCGUGCUGUGCAGUGUGUGCACAAUGCACCGGCUGCGGUGAAAAGUGGAGAACAGAGCAGGUUUCUGCGAAAGCAGGCGCUGAGAGGAAGCGAGAGGAGAGGGAUGUGGCUCAGGUGAGAGAGUAGAGUGGUUCCUGUGGUCUCUUUCUCUUUCUCUCUCUCCCCAGCUGUGAAUGGAGCAGACUGGAUCGUCAACAGGAAUCUCUCUCUCUUCAUACAGUUCAGUCCGCCAUUGUUACCCUGUGUAUUCAUUGUUAGCAUCUUCUCAAUAGUUACUACUCAGCUGUAUGUGUUAAUCUGUUAAUCAGUUGAAAAGUAUGAGGCAAUGGAUUCAGUUCACAUGAACACAUUUAAAAAUGUACAUUUAGGGAAAAAGCUCAUUAUCGCUGUCAGAUAGUCAGACUGAGGAAAUGACUGAAGUUCUCUUAUCUGCUCUGUAAAAAGGAAGUUAAAGCCAGAGGCCGAUUACCUUUGCUCAAAAUCAAGCCUCCAGAGUCUGUCUACACCAUUAAUAAGCAAGAAGUGUGUGGUCAUAAAAGUGAAAUAUAGUUGUUGUUGGACAGAUUAUAUUUUCUUUAAAGUAAAUUCACAUUGUAUUAUGAGCCAACACUACUCCUUGAUUGUGAGCUGGUGUAGUCAACCAGACAAAAAGUCAACAGUUAAUCUUUUUGUUUACAAUUAACUGAGUAAUAAAACUGUCUGAUUAUGCAUGAUUAAUAAAUAUUGAUGUGUGA